rnacentral:rRNA from 1 species
CGUGAGGGAAAGGCGAAAAGAACCCCGGCGAGGGGAGUGAAAAAGAACCUGAAACCGUGUACGUACAAGCAGUGGGAGCACGCUUAGGCGUGUGACUGCGUACCUUUUGUAUAAUGGGUCAGCGACUUAUAUUCUGUAGCAAGGUUAACCGAAUAGGGGAGCCGAAGGGAAACCGAGUCUUAACUGGGCGUUAAGUUGCAGGGUAUAGACCCGAAACCCGGUGAUCUAGCCAUGGGCAGGUUGAAGGUUGGGUAACACUAACUGGAGGACCGAACCGACUAAUGUUGAAAAAUUAGCGGAUGACUUGUGGCUGGGGGUGAAAGGCCAAUCAAACCGGGAGAUAGCUGGUUCUCCCCGAAAGCUAUUUAGGUAGCGCCUCGUGAAUUCAUCUCCGGGGGUAGAGCACUGUUUCGGCAAGGGGGUCAUCCCGACUUACCAACCCGAUGCAAACUGCGAAUACCGGAGAAUGUUAUCACGGGAGACACACGGCGGGUGCUAACGUCCGUCGUGAAGAGGGAAACAACCCAGACCGCCAGCUAAGGUCCCAAAGUCAUGGUUAAGUGGGAAACGAUGUGGGAAGGCCCAGACAGCCAGGAUGUUGGCUUAGAAGCAGCCAUCAUUUAAAGAAAGCGUAAUAGCUCACUGGUCGAGUCGGCCUGCGCGGAAGAUGUAACGGGGCUAAACCAUGCACC